rnacentral:rRNA from 1 species
GUCUAUGGCCAUGCCACGCUGAACGUGCCUGAUCCUGUCUGAUCUUGGAAGCUAAGCGGGGUCGGGCCUGAUUACUUGGAUGGGAGACCACCAAGAAAGACCGGGUGCUGUAGGCA